rfam:Canis lupus familiaris chromosome 9, whole genome shotgun sequence.
CGGGAGAGGCGGGAUCCUGGGCUGUGUCCCGGCGCCCUGUGCUCCGGGGCCUGCGCUGUUGGAUUCGCGCUCACGCCCCGCAGCCCCCU